AGCAGCCGCGGUAAUUCCAGCUCCAAUAGCGUAUAUUAAAGUUGUUGCAGUUAAAAAGCUCGUAGUUGAAUUUCGGGAUCAGUACGCCGGUCGUGCCUCCGGUAUGUACUGGUGUCACUGGUUCCUCCCUUCUGAAGAACCAUCAUGCUAUUCAUUUAGUGUGGUGGGAAAUCAGGACUGUUACUUUGAAAAAAUUAGAGUGUUUAAAGCAGGCUCACGCUUGAAUACAUUAGCAUGGAAUAAUGAAAUAGGACGUUGAUCCUAUUUUGUUGGUUUCUAGGAUUGACGUAAUGAUUAAUAGGGAUAGUUGGGGGCAUUAGUAUUCAAUUGUCAGAGGUGAAAUUCUUGGAUUUAUUGAAGACUAACUACUGCGAAAGCAUUUGCCAAGGAUGUUUUCAUUAAUCAAGAACGAAAGUUAGGGGAUCGAAGACGAUCAGAUACCGUCGUAGU
rnacentral:rRNA from 1 species